AUUGAACGCUGGCGGCAUGCUUUACACAUGCAAGUCGAACGGUAACAGGUUAAGCUGACGAGUGGCGAACGGGUGAGUAAUGCAUCGGAACGUGCCCGAUCGUGGGGGAUAACGCAGCGAAAGCUGGGCUAAUACCGCAUACGAUCUGAGGAUGAAAGCGGGGGACCGUAAGGCCUCGCGCGAUCGGAGCGGCCGAUGUCAGAUUAGGUAGUUGGUGGGGUAAAGGCUCACCAAGCCAACGAUCUGUAGCUGGUCUGAGAGGACGACAGCCACACUGGGACUGAGACACGGCCCAGACUCCUACGGGAGGCAGCAGUGGGGAAUUUUGGACAAUGGGCGAAAGCCUGAUCCAGCAAUGCCGCGUGCAGGAAGAAGGCCUUCGGGUUGUAAACUGCUUUUGUACGGAGCGAAAAGGCUCUCUCUAAUACAGGGGGCUCAUGACGGUACCGUAAGAAUAAGCACCGGCUAACUACGUGCCAGCAGCCGCGGUAA
rnacentral:rRNA from 1 species